rnacentral:rRNA from 1 species
ACUUUCAACAAUGGAUCUCUUGGUUCUCGCAUCGAUGAAGAACGCAGCGAAAUGCGAUAAGUAAUGUGAAUUGCAGAAUUCCGUGAAUCAUCAAAUUUUUGAACGCAAAUUGCACUCCUUGGUAUUCCGAGGAGUACACAUGCUUGAGGGUCAGU